GAGCUGCCGCUGCCCUUCGAGCACUUCCUGCAGAGGAUCGCCCGGAGACCCCGGCCCCAGCAGUUCUUCGGCCUCAUGGGCAAACGGGAUGCCGGAUAUGGCCAGAUCUCUCACAAAAGGCAUAAAACAGACUCCUUUGUUGGACUUAUGGGCAAAAGAUCUUUAAAUUCUGGAUCCUCUGAAAGGAGCAUAGCACAGAAUUAUGAGCGAAGGCGUAAAUGAUACGUUCCCAUGCAUUAUUUAUUAAACUUCAUUUGUUCCGAUGGCCAAUGCAGUGUAAUAUAAACUAACCACUGUAUGGAAUAAUUAUUUAUUUAAUAAUAAUUGAUGGGGUUUUUUUGAGUUGUACAUUGAAUAAAAUUAUUAUUUUUCAUAUUGUGGCAGCAAUACGCGUUGUGUAAGUGUGUUGUGGUUCUGAAAGGAAGGCUCCCUCUGGAACAACCGCCCUGGUGGUGUCUCACAACAAAGCACACUGUUUGAUAUGACCUGUAAAGUUAUGUUCAUUAAACAAAGAAAAGAUGCUUUUGUUCAUAGAAAGCGAUUCUAUCAGCUUCACAACAAGUGCAGAACAGAACUGAUGUACAGUCUAGUGCCUCAAUUUGUUUUCAUGGUUUAUAAUGUACUGUAAUUUCCGUAUCAAAAAAUAUAUUUGUAUCAUUGCA